rnacentral:snRNA from 1 species
UGGCAGUGAUGACUCGGA